CCGAUCCUUCUCUUUCCCCGAUCUCCUCCCCUCUCUGCCCCGACGCGAGCUGACCUCCCCUCUUCUUCUCUGUUCCUCUCUCGCGGAUCACUCGACGCCAAGGCCGAAGGAGACUCAUCACCGGAGCUCGACGGUGCCGAGGAGCUGGAUCUGAUCGGGGGGUUCUGUCCGGCGGAUUUGGAGGCCGAUCGUCGAAGGCACUGUGGCUAGGGCACGGUGAGAGACAGAUCAUGCAUCGUCUCCCAUCGGUAGACCAUUCUCUUCGCUCCUCACGCUGGACACAGUGUGAUUACCCUUUUUGCUGGCCGGAUUGGACCGAGCGGCAUCACCUAGUAGUUAUCUUGGAGGCAGGGCAUCGCCGGAUUGCGUCUCCUUCCACCAUCGGCCACCGAAGCUUAGAGAGGUGCCCUAGUCCGGAAUUGUGCCACUCGAUCAUCUGCGAGGGUCACGGAUUGGGUGACACCUCCUGGAUACAAUCGGUUGAGUGAGGACCUGUUCUGUGGAUUGCUCUAUGAUCCAACAAUAUAUUGUUUCAACAGCAACUCGAUUAGAGUAGUGAGGUCCUGUUGUUGUGGUGUUGGGAAGGUGAUCGUGAAGUGAUUUUAGCAGCAACCUUGAUCCAGCAAGCAAUAGGGGCUGUGAAUCGAGGACGCUGAUUCGAGACGGGCGUCUCGACUUCAGAUUUGGAUUGUACCUUCUAUUUGAGG